CGAAAUGCGAUAAGUAAUGUGAAUUGCAGAAUUCAGUGAAUCAUCGAAUCUUUGAACGCACCUUGCGCUCCUUGGUAUUCCUUGGAGCAUGCCUGUUUGAGUAUCAUGAAAUCUUCAAAGUAAAUCUUUUGUUAACUCAAUUGGUUUCUACUUUGGUAUUGGAGGUCUUUGCAGCUUCACACCUGCUCCUCUUUGUUCAUUAGCUGGAUCUCAGUGUCAUGCUUGGUUCCACUCGGCGUGAUAAGUUAUCUAUCGCUGAGGACACUGUAAAAGGUGGCCAAGGUAAAUGCAGAUGAACCGCUUCUAAUAGUCCAUUGACUUGGACAAUACUUUUAUGAUCUGAUCUCAAAUCAGGUAGGACUACCCGCUGAACUUAAGC
rnacentral:misc_RNA from 1 species